UGGGGAAUAUUGCACAAUGGGCGCAAGCCUGAUGCAGCCAUGCCGCGUGUAUGAAGAAGGCCUUCGGGUUGUAAAGUACUUUCAGUCGGGAGGAAGGUGUCAAGGUUAAUAACCUUGGCAAUUGACGUUACCGACAGAAGAAGCACCGGCUAACUCCGUGCCAGCAGCCGCGGUAAUACGGAGGGUGCGAGCGUUAAUCGGAAUUACUGGGCGUAAAGCGCACGCAGGCGGUUGAUUGAGUCAGAUGUGAAAUCCCCGGGCUUAACCCGGGAAUUGCAUCUGAUACUGGUCAGCUAGAGUCUUGUAGAGGGGGGUAGAAUUCCAUGUGUAGCGGUGAAAUGCGUAGAGAUGUGGAGGAAUACCGGUGGCGAAGGCGGCCCCCUGGACAAAGACUGACGCUCAGGUGCGAAAGCGUGGGGAGCAAACAGG
rnacentral:rRNA from 1 species